rnacentral:rRNA from 1 species
GCAUAUCAGAAGGCACACCCGGAGAACUGAAACAUCUUAGUACCCGGAGGAAGAGAAAGAAAAUUCGAUUCCCUUAGUAGCGGCGAGCGAAACGGGAAGAGCCCAAACCAACAAGCUUGCUUGUUGGGGUUGUAGGACACUCUAUACGGAGUUACAAAGGACGACAUUAGACGAAUCAUCUGGAAAGAUGAAUCAAAGAAGGUAAUAAUCCUGUAGUCGAAAAUGUUGUCUCUCUUGAGUGGAUCCUGAGUACGACGGAGCACGUGAAAUUCCGUCGGAAUCUGGGAGGACCAUCUCCUAAGGCUAAAUACUCUCUAGUGACCGAUAGUGAACCAGUACCGUGAGGGAAAGGUGAAAAGCACCCCGGAAGGGGAGUGAAAUAGAACCUGAAACCGUGUGCUUACAAGUAGUCAGAGCCCGUUAAUGGGUGAUGGCGUGCCUUUUGUAGAAUGAACCGGCGAGUUACGAUUUGAUGCAAGGUUAAGCAGUAAAUGUGGAGCCGUAGCGAAAGCGAGUCUGAAUAGGGCGUUUAGUAUUUGGUCGUAGACCCGAAACCAGGUGAUCUACCCUUGGUCAGGUUGAAGUUCAGGUAACACUGAAUGGAGGACCGAACCGACUUACGUUGAAAAGUGAGCGGAUGAACUGAGGGUAGCGGAGAAAUUCCAAUCGAACCUGGAGAUAGCUGGUUCUCUCCGAAAUAGCUUUAGGGCUAGCCUCAAGUGAUGAUUAUUGGAGGUAGAGCACUGUUUGGACGAGGGGCCCCUCUCGGGUUACCGAAUUCAGACAAACUCCGAAUGCCAAUUAAUUUAACUUGGGAGUCAGAACAUGGGUGAUAAGGUCCGUGUUCGAAAGGGAAACAGCCCAGACCACCAGCUAAGGUCCCAAAAUAUAUGUUAAGUGGAAAAGGAUGUGGCGUUGCCCAGACAACUAGGAUGUUGGCUUAGAAGCAGCCAUCAUUUAAAGAGUGCGUAAUAGCUCACUAGUCGAGUGACACUGCGCCGAAAAUGUACCGGGGCUAAACAUAUUACCGAAGCUGUGGAUUGUCCUUUGGACAAUGGUAGGAGAGCGUUCUAAGGGCGUUGAAGCAUGAUCGUAAGGACAUGUGGAGCGCUUAGAAGUGAGAAUGCCGGUGUGAGUAGCGAAAGACGGGUGAGAAUCCCGUCCACCGAUUGACUAAGGUUUCCAGAGGAAGGCUCGUCCGCUCUGGGUUAGUCGGGUCCUAAGCUGAGGCCGACAGGCGUAGGCGAUGGAUAACAGGUUGAUAUUCCUGUACCACCUAUAAUCGUUUUA